UACGGAGGAUGCGAGCGUUAUCCGGAUUUAUUGGGUUUAAAGGGUGCGUAGGCGGCCUGUUAAGUCAGCGGUGAAAUCUAGGGGCUUAACUCCUAAAUUGCCAUUGAUACUGGUGGGCUUGAGUGUAGAUGAGGUAGGCGGAAUGCGUGGUGUAGCGGUGGAAUGCAUAGAUAUCACGCAGAACUCCGAUUGCGAAGGCAGCUUACUAAGGUACAACUGACGCUGAAGCACGAAAGCGUGGGUAUCAAACAGG
rnacentral:rRNA from 1 species